CCGCCCCGUGCCCCGGGGCCAGGCCGGAACCGGGGAACCACGUUCUCGGGGUGAAUCGGCGAGCGCGGUCCCCGCCCGAGCAACCAGCCCGGCGCGUGCGGCCGCUUUGCCGUAGGGCGUUACUUCCUUGGCCCGAACCCGUCAGCUAACCCGGUAGGCGGCCGAGGAAGGAAGG
rnacentral:sRNA from 2 species